rnacentral:lncRNA from 1 species
UCGGAGGCCAGUCCUACCUUUGUGGCUGGAGAGCCCAGAAGGCCCAGGUGUAGGCGCACAGGAAGCCACCGAGGCUGUCAGAGCCAGGCUCAGGCCAGUCAUGUGGUCAGUGGACCAGAGCCAGAGCGCAAGGCUGUCCCUCGUGGGUCCCUCAGAGCACCCUCAGAUGGACGGAAAGCGGAAGGAGCACGCACACCGAGCUCCAGAAGACCCCAGACGCCCUCCCUGGACAGCGAGAGGCCAUCUGUGCAGUCACAAGGGCAGAAACCACAGAGACAGCGCCGUCCUGUGGGCGCUUUGGCCAGGGUUCUCAGAGACUCAGACCAGCAGACAGACUGACAGCGAGGAACUGCUCAGGCAGCCCCCCGGACACAAGUCCCCAGGCCCACGGGAGCCAGGGGGCACUCGAGACUGACGGCAAGGAGGCCCAUGUCCAAGUUCCAAUUUGUCCCUGGAAGCUGACCACAUCCAAAACACCCAGGACCAGGCUUGACCAGAGCCCUGACACCUUGCGGCUCAGUCAGGCUGGCACAUAAGAGAACUGGCACAGUGGACACUAACAUUCAAAAUGUCUCCCAAAAAGACACCCAGAACCUUUCAGGGCAUGUGCUGACCUCUGGAGUCCCACAAAGAGAAUCUCCACAAGGACAGCCAAGGGGCCCCUGUCUCUCUGGGCACUGUCCACCUUGGCCUGCCAGGCGUCCUGCUCUCUGGCCCCCACUCCUUCCUGUCAGGCCUGACGGGGGCUCAGCCAUGCUAACCUUUGCGGCCUCCUGGCCCAGCGCUGGCACAGAGGGCCCUCAGAUGGACAGCACCAUUGGCAAAGCCAGGAGCAGCUGCUUGGGUGGGGGGCACAGGUGCCCCCUGGUACCUGGAUCCUGCCGUGCUGGACCUGGAGAGUAACCCAGGGGGUGGCAGACGGCAGCCCACCCGAGAGCCUGCAUCCCCAGCUCCACCUGCCUGCUGGGUGACUCCAAGAAAGUCCCCACACCUCCCCGCCCACCUGAAAAGUGGAUGCCUGGACCCCCACCCCACAGAGUCAUCAAAGGUCAGCAGGUGGGUUCCACUGCCAUUGUCCCAGGACAGCAGGGUCACGGGCACAAGUGAAUGGGGUCGCCUGCCAUCAGCCACCCCAAACACUUGCUGGAGGAUCCCUCCAACCACAGCACUGCACAGACAAGGUCCUGAGGAGCAGCAGGGGUCACUGGUAAUGAGGGGCCCAAGAAUGCCCCUGGCCUGAUCCCCAAGACACAGGACCAGCUCCCCAGGCUGCAGCGUGUGGCCCAGGAGAGCCACCUGGCAGCACUUUGCCUGUGAUUGUCAUCGGAACUCCCAAACUGACAAGGGGAGAAUGGGUGGAGGAUGGAUGGAUGGACGAGUG